GUUACUAAGCUACUGCCACUGAGGAUGACGUGGUAACCCAGUAGCCCAAAAGACACAGUCCUUCUCAACAAAGCCUAACCAACAGGCAAUGGAUUACAGUGAUUCAGAGGAAAGAUAAGAAGGUUCCUUUGUCUUGGACCUCCACUAGACAUCAAGGAAACAUGCCAAAAAAGUAAACAACAAAGGCCCCCACACCUUUCCAAACUACAACCCAAAAUAAGUUGAUCUGAGAAACAAAUUGCAAUGCCGCAUGCAAAGCAGAUGUGUCCAAAUUCAUGUAGGACCAGACACAUCCUGAACCUUUCAGUGCAACAGCUGUUCAAGACUUUCUUCAAAAUCAUCCAAGCACAAGGGUUGAUAAAAUACACACAAAAUGGGUAUUUGACACCCUGGAUUCCAUGCAGGUUUGGCAGUAACCAGGGAGAAUUAGAACCCGAAGCUAGAUUUCAAAAUAGAGCUCUGGACUGAAGCAUUCUUGCACAACCAUCCCACAGACGGCUUCCGGUCUUGCUCCAACUCCAGUCCUCUGUGGGGCCUCUUCUCAGCUCUCCUGCUUUUUCCCAAACCCUCAGUAACCUCCCUCCUUAGUAGAAGGCUAUGACUUCUCUUUCCCAAACCAAUUACUUUUCCUCAAUGAACUUCUUUUCUUGAUGGAUUUAGGUUAUAACUGCUGGCUGUGGAGGCUUUCUGCUUUGGAACCAUAGAAUCACAGCUCUCACAGUUGGAAGGGAGACCAUUCACCCCAAUCCUUCAGUUACAGGGAGGAAGCUGAAGUCCCGGGAGGUGAAAUGGCUUCGGCAAGGUCACCCAGCUAUUGAGUGUCUGACAAGAGAGUGAUUCCUGUCCAUCCUCUCCUCCUGGUCAAACCCCCUCCCCUGGGGAAGCAGGGAAACACUCCCUCGGAGCUCUGGUGUUCUGACACUACAUGCCCACAAAGGCUGCUGCCACACCCACAAGGCUCCAUUUACUCAUCCUUCCCCAGGUGACAACCUACUAUGUGAACAGCACUCAACCUGGUAUUGAUGGGUGGGUCGAAAGGCACAGCAUAGGCAUGAUGUUGAUUUGCAGGGAUGACCAGAGCAACCAGGGACAAACUGAUACAGGGAUCAAAAUGAUGUCUUUAAGGGAUAGCUGCCUUGAAGGAAUUCAAAGCUGGUUCCUUCAUUUAGCGAGUAUUCCUGAGUGCUGAACACAUGUCAGGUGGCAUUCCAAGUGCCAGGGUAAAGCAAUGACAAUGAUGGGCAUGAGUUCCUGGAACCUACAGUCCAGUGAGAAAGACAGAUACUGAACAAGAAAGCUGGGCAAAAGGAAGAAGUGCAGGCUGCUACAGGAGCAAGGCUUCAUGGAGGAGGCGAGAGAAGCUGUCAGCGUAGGGGAGAGAUCAGAUGGUCAAUCAAUGCCCACACCUGCUGCAGAAGCCCAGCUGUGAGCCACAGUCAGGUGACAGGACGUUUACAGGGAGGUAUCCUGGUUUCCUUAGUCCCUAGGUUGCCAAUGGAAGCCACUUCUCAAUGCCAUUCCCAAGCAACCAGGAAGACAGGUGCAUACCUCAGCCCAGGCCUGCCAGGGGAAUGGCAUGUCUGGAGAGCUGACCUUUGACUCACCCUCCCAGUCAGCACUCAGGAAUGUGCUGGGGUUACCACCAGUGUCUUGCACCUGGUGGGUGGGCAGGCAUGUGGCCAACAUCCCCAGAACAGCUGGGAGGGGAUAGGAGGGUUUCAGGAAUGGCAGAGGCAGCAUCUUAAAGCUGCCUUUGGGAAGAUGAAGGCCGACAAAACUUGCCCCUCCCACAAGGAGAUAGUGUUAAGUCCCCUUUUUCGAGUAGCCACGGUGUGUAACUAUUCAUGUUUUCCACGUAUUGUAAAGGACCUGGUUCUUUUGUCUCUGCCUGCUGGCAUCUUCCUGCCAAUCAAUGACACCCUUAUGACAACCAGACCCCAAUCAGGGCUAAAUCCCCACCAUGCAGCUCAGCACUGGGUUCUGCUACCUGGUUCCUGUUGGCAAGGGACAGAGGCUCUUUGAUGACUCCUGGGUUCAGGGUAUAUGCCAUGUGCUGCUCCCCAGGUUGCCAUCUGACCCUAGCUUGGGCCCUCCAGCUGUGUGGAUUUAAUGUCCAAUAGCAGAGCCUGCAACUCCUGUGUCUUCACAGCUGAUGCUCAAACCAACCAAAACACCAGGCUCUUUGCUGAAACCUCUGAGAAGGGUUCCUGGCUCCAGGUCAGCCUCAAUGGAAUAAAGGAAGAUCACCUACCACUUCAAACUGAAGAGCUGAAGGAGUUGUAUCAAGAUACAGAGUGCAGCAAGUAUAGGAAACAUUAGAGAAACUGACCUGUCUGGAGAUGGCAAGCUGCAGAGCCAGGUAGAAAGCUGCUUGGUGAUCUGUGGGUGACAGGCUGUGGGCCCUGAAAAAGUAUUUACGGCUAUUAGUACAUGGGAGAGGAGGCCAUUUUUACUUUCCCUAUCAAGCAAGUCUUCUCCACAUUUGCAUUCUUAUACUAAGGGCCCGUAUUUAUUUAACUAUGUAAUGCUUCAUUUAAACUCUUCUUCUUUGCCCACCUACACAUGUAAACCAUUUCCCUCUUACCACUGUAUAAAGGUACAGAAUAGGAGUGCA